UCUUCCCCUAGAGUUUUGCAGGUAAUGAGGCUGUAUCCUAAAACAUCAAUAGUUGGCAGAGAGGAGAAAUGGCAUGUCUAUGCUCAGUGUUCUGACCUGUCGAAGUCUAAAUGUUCAGUAGCUUAACACU
ensembl:snoRNA LOC120096417 small nucleolar RNA SNORA17